UGCAAACUGCGAAUACCGAAGAAUGUUAUCACGGGAGACACACGGCGGGUGCUAACGUCCGUCGUGAAGAGGGAAACAACCCAGACCGCCAGCUAAGGUCCCAAAGUCAUGGUUAAGUGGGAAACGAAGUGGGAAGGCUCAGACAGCCAGGAUGUUGGCUUAGAAGCAGCCAUCAUUUAAAGAAAGCGUAAUAGCUCACUGGUCGAGUCGGCCCGCGCGGAAGAUGUAACGGGGCUAAACCAUGCACCGAAGCUGCGGCAGCGACACAUAGUGUUGUUGGGUAGGGGAGCGUUCUGUAAGCCUGCGAAGGUGUACUGUGAGGUAUGCUGGAGGUAUCAGAAGUGCGAAUGCUGACAUAAGUAACGAUAAUGCGGGUGAAAAACCCGCACGCCGGAAGACCAAGGGUUCCUGUCCAACGUUAAUCGGGGCAGGGUGAGUCGACCCCUAAGGCGAGGCUGAAAAGCGUAGUCGAUGGGAAACGGGUUAAUAUUCCCGUACUGGUGGUAACUGCGAUGGGGGAACGGAGAAGGCUAGGUUGUCCGGGCGACGGUCGUCCCGGUUCAAGCAGGUAGGCAGAGUGAUUAGGCAAAUCCGGUCACUUAAUGC
rnacentral:rRNA from 1 species